rnacentral:sRNA from 1 species
CUGUCACCUCUGCUGGAAGGAGUGGAACCCAUACUUGCUGGUCUGAGCCAUGCACAAGGCGGGGCAGCUAGGCCUCUGUGCCCGGGCAUGGAAGUUGGUGCGGAUGGCCAGCUCCGGGAUGACCCGCCGGGACCCACUCACAAAUAAGGUGGCCCUGGUAAUGGCCUCUACGGACUGCUUACAGAGUCAAGUCCCUGGGAACUUCAGGAAGCAGCCCACCAUGUUUCAACCACUUACUAUGUGCAAUUUCCUGUGUUCAGAGCCUUACACAAGUUAUCUCUAGACCUGACAACAACCCAAGCAAGGCAAGGACUAUUCUCUCAGUCUGCAGACGCUGGCUCAGAUAGCUGGAGCAACUGCCCAAGGUCCCACAGCCAGUAAGGAAAGACCCAGACCUCCCAAGCUCCCUUCCUUUAUUGGCUGCCUAUGGACUACUGGGGCUUCAGUCCUUACAAUGUCAGUAAAACAGCCUUGCUGGGCCUCACCAAGACCCUGGCCAUAGAGCUGGCUCCAAGGAACGUUCGGUUGAACUGCCUAGCACCUGGACUUAUCAAGACUAGCUUCAGCAGGAUGCUCUGGAUGGACAAGGAAAAAGAGGAAAGCAUGAAAGAAACCCUGCAGAUAAGAAGGUUAGGCGAGCCAGAGGAUUGUGCUGGCAUCGUGUCUUUCCUGUGCUCUGAAGAUGCCAGCUACAUCACUGAGGAAACAGUGGUGGUGGGUGGAGGAACCCCGUCCCGCCUCUAAGGACCUGGAGACAGCCCACAGGCCAGAGUUGGGCUCUAGCUCCUGGUGCUGUUCCUGCAU